UGAGUUUGAUCCUGGCUCAGAACGUACGCUGGCGGCACGCCUAACACAUGCAAGUCGAACGAAGUAGCAAUACUUAGUGGCAGACGGGUGAGUAACAUGUAGGUAUCUACCCUUUGGCCUGGAAUAACACGAGGAAACUUGUGCUAAUACCGGAUAAGUCUUUACGGAGAAAGCUUUAUGCACCAUUGGAUGAGCCUGCACUUGAUUAGUUUGUUGGUGGGGUAAUGGCCUACCAAGACUUUGAUCAAUAGCUGAUUUGAGAGGAUGAUCAGCCACAUUGGGACUGAGACACGGCCCAAACUCCUACGGGAGGCAGCAGUGGGGAAUCUUGCACAAUGGAGGAAACUCUGAUGCAGCGAUGCCGCGUGAGUGAAGAAGGCCCUUGGGUUGUAAAGCUCUUUCGUCGGGGAAGAAAAUGACUGUACCCGAAUAAGAAGGUCCGGCUAACUUCGUGCCAGCAGCCGCGGUAAUACGAAGGGACCUAGCGUAGUUCGGAAUUACUGGGCUUAAAGAGUUCGUAGGUGGUUGAAAAAGUUGGUGGUGAAAUCCCAGAGCUUAACUCUGGAACUGCCAUCAAAACUUUUCAGCUAGAGUUUGAUAGAGGAAAGCAGAAUUUCUAGUGUAGAGGUGAAAUUCGUAGAUAUUAGAAAGAAUACCAAUUGCGAAGGCAGCUUUCUGGAUCAUUACUGACACUGAGGAACGAAAGCAUGGGUAGCGAAGAGGAUUAGAUACCCUCGUAGUCCAUGCCGUAAACGAUGUGUGUUAGACGUUGGAAAUUUAUUUUUCAGUGUCGCAGCGAAAGCGAUAAACACACCGCCUGGGGAGUACGACCGCAAGGUUAAAACUCAAAUGAAUUGACGGGGACCCGCACAAGUAGUGGAGCAUGUGGUUUAAUUCGAAGAUACGCGCAGAACCUUACCAACACUUGACAUGUUCGUCGCGACUUUAAGAGAUUAAAGUUUUCGGUUCGGCCGGACGAAACACAGGUGCUGCAUGGCUGUCGUCAGCUCGUGUCGUGAGAUGUUGGGUUAAGUCCCGCAACGAGCGCAACCCUCACUUUUAGUUGCCAUCAUUUAGUUGGGCACUCUGAAAGAACUGCCAGUGAUAAGCUGGAGGAAGGUGGGGAUGACGUCAAGUCCUCAUGGCCCUUACGUGUUGGGCUACACACGUGCUACAAUGGUAUUUACAACAGGAAGCAAGACGGCGACGUUAAGCAAAUCCUUAAAAAAUACCUCAGUUCGGAUUGCACUCUGCAACUCGAGUGCAUGAAGCUGGAAUUACUAGUAAUCGUGGAUCAGCGUGCCACGGUGAAUGCGUUCCCGGGUCUUGUACACACCGCCCGUCACACCAUGGGAGUUGGUUCUACCUUAAGGCAAGGCUUAAAACCCUUGACCACGGUAUAGUCAGCGANCUGGGGUGAAGUCGUAACAAGGUAACC
rnacentral:rRNA from 1 species